rnacentral:rRNA from 1 species
CCUACGGGCGGCAGCAGUGGGGAAUAUUGGACAAUGGGGGGAACCCUGAUCCAGCCAUGCCGCGUGUGUGAAGAAGGCCCUCGGGUUGCAAAGCACUUUCAGUGAGGAAGAACGCCUGGUGGUUAAUACCCAUCAGGAAAGACAUCACUCACAGAAGAAGCACCGGCUAACUCCGUGCCAGCAGCCGCGGUAAUACGGAGGGUGCGAGCGUUAAUCGGAAUUACUGGGCGUAAAGCGCGCGUAGGUGGCUUGAUAAGCCGGUUGUGAAAGCCCCGGGCUCAACCUGGGAACGGCAUCCGGAACUGUCAAGCUAGAGUGCAGGAGAGGAAGGUAGAAUUCCCGGUGUAGCGGUGAAAUGCGUAGAGAUCGGGAGGAAUACCAGUGGCGAAGGCGGCCUUCUGGACUGACACUGACACUGAGGUGCGAAAGCGUGGGUAGCAAACAGGAUUAGAUACCCUUGUAGUC